CUCGUGACUUCUUUUCACCAGUGAAUAUUUGAGCCAUGUUUUAUUAUUUGGAAUCGUUGUGUACUAUUUAUUAACAUUUCUGCAAUUAUCCAUAUUCAUAUUUGAGAUCUGUUUCACGUUCAACGAAUUGGGGGAAGAAAAUUUCAAGCAAAUUUCUUUUCGAUUAAACGAGAUGAGAGCACGUAAAAUGAAGCGAAACGGACGUAUUGAGUUUCGAGAAACGGCGGGAACUACAAUGGCGAGUCAGAGAAGCAAUAUCCUGACGAGAUAACGAAACUAUAUAGGAUGUACCACGGAUGGUUUCAAAGGAAAUUUCACUGAUGAAGCUUCGCAUAUCGAAGUGACGUUUAAUCGAUACGACUCGAACAAAUUAAUGCUUCGAUUUUGGAAGAUAGGAAAUCAAUUAAAUUACUGUUAUCGUGAAGAGGAUCAGAGUUUCAUUACGUGGUGAAAUCCAGUUAUGGCGAAAAAUAAUGCGCGAAAAAAGUCCCUAGAUAGAAAGUAAUUUAUUCGAAACAUACUAUUGUCCAGAAUUUAUCUUUUCAUCGAAAUAACAGAACUCGAAGAAUAAGAAAAUAUUUCCACGAACAGUUGAACUCGGAUCGAUAAUUCUCCUCCUAACCUCGUUAUCUUUUUUCUAUACUAUCUUUUUUCGCUUGAAAAAUUUUCAUUUUUAUCACGUGAUUACAAUUUAACGAUUUCGAUAAUUAGCUAAAUCUCGCGAUCUCGUAACAAUGAAAAUCGAUCGCGAUUUAAUCUAGUGGCAAACUCGUUUUUGGCGCGUAUUUAUUUACAAACGUAUUUACAAUCGUUCGGCUUGAUAUGAGAAGAGAAAGAGAAACAAAAUGCAGGUGGAUCAGUUUUCUCGAUUUACAACUCGUGGUGUUUUGAUCGUGAUCCACCGAACGAAAUCGACGAAAAGCUUGGAAACGAAUUUUUUUGUAAAUGUAUCUCCUUCUAAAUUUUUAUACAAAUUUGUAUAAAAUAAUUUCGCUCGAUAAAAGAAAUAACAUACGGAUAAUGAUAUUUGGUUGAAUAUUUAUCUUAUAUGAUAAAUAAAUAAAAGAUUAUUUCAUAAAAUUUUAAUUUCUUAAAUUUUCGGUAUUGUUUGAUUUAUUUACGGUUAUUUAUUGCAAGUUUUAUAAAGAAAAAUAUAAAAUUUAUUGAGAAAUAUUAAAUGUAUCGAUUGCUUUCAAACUUUUCGUCGAUUUUACAUUAUAAUUAUAUACGUAUGCGAUCAUUUGCAUAUUUGGAACGGUUCCGUGUGUAUUUCGUAAUUAAUUCUUUUUGUAUAUUAGUAAUUUUAUUUACAAAUCGACUUAAUUCUUACGGCAGAAGACUUCGGAUAAGCGGCUACAACGAUAUUUGUAGAAAGCUUGUUCGCGAGGUUCGAUUCAUCACUUUCGUGCCGGAAUUUCUCAGCGUAUCCCAAAUAAAAUUCCAUGUGUGUUCGGUAAAAUAAAUAAAUAAACACGGAAAAUCUCGAAAAUCAUCAUAAAAUUGACUCGAAGAUGGAAUACAGAAAAUUUUCUUCGUAAAAAGUAAAUAGAAAUAUUCAUCGAUCAAAUAAAAUUAAGCUGUUUUGUCCGAAAAAAUUUAACAUGUCUAUUAAAUAUAUUAUUUCAUUCAUUGUGCAAUUCAUCAUCUUUCGUAUUCUAAUUAUAAUUAAAAUAAAUGAAUAGUA